GCUUGUCUCAAAGAUUAAGCCAUGCAUGUCUUAGUGUAAAUAACUCUUAUGAAACUGCGAAUGGCUCAUUAAAUCAGUUAUCAAAUACGUGAUGGUCGCCUACUACAUGGAUAACCGUAGUAAUUCUAGAGCUAAUACAUGCACAAAGGCCCACUCACGUGGGUUGUGAUUAUUAGAUUCAAACCGGCCUCGUUCUGGUGAUUCAUAAUAAUUGGUCGAACCGCAUGCCCUUGUGGUGGCGGUGAUUCAUCCUUAUUUCUGCCCUAUCAGCUUUCGAUGGUUGUGUAUUGGACAACCACUGGCAAUAACGGGUAACGGAGAAUUAGGGUUCGGUUCCGGAGAGUUGGCCUUAAAAAUAGCCAACACAUCUAAGGAAGGCAGCAGG
rnacentral:rRNA from 1 species